GCCUUCGUGGUGCAAUACUCAGCACACUCGGCGCGUAUUCGAGAGGUCCAAGGUUCGAGUCCCGGCGAGGGCA
rfam:Stegodyphus mimosarum contig46905, whole genome shotgun sequence.